AGCGCCACGAGUGGGGGUCGAUUUUAUUGGGCUUAAAGCGUUCGUAGCCGGCUUGGUCAAUCCUUUGUGAAAUCGUUACUAUCAACGUAACGGCGCGCUGAGGACACUGCCAAGCUUGGAACCGGGAGGGGUCAGAGGUAUGCCUGGGGGAGCGGUAAAAUGUUAUAAUCCUAGGUGGACCACCUUUGGCGAAGGCGUCUGACUAGAACGGGUUCGACGGUGAGGAACGAAAGCUGGGGGAGCGAUCC
rnacentral:rRNA from 1 species